UUCGCCCUUAGAGUUUGAUCCUGGCUCAGGAUGAACGCUGGCGGCGUGCUUAACACAUGCAAGUCGAACGAAGCACUUUUAUUUGAUUUCUUCGGAAUGAAGAUUUUAGUGACUGAGUGGCGGACGGGUGAGUAACGCGUGGGUAACCUGCCUCAUACAGGGGGAUAACAGUUAGAAAUGACUGCUAAUACCGCAUAAGACCACAGCACCGCAUGGUGCAGGGGUAAAAACUCCGGUGGUAUGAGAUGGACCCGCGUCUGAUUAGGUAGUUGGUGGGGUAACGGCCUACCAAGCCGACGAUCAGUAGCCGACCUGAGAGGUUGAACGGCCACAUUGGGACUGAGACACGGCCCAGACUCCUACGGGAGGCAGCAGUGGGGGGUAUUGCACAAUGGGGGAAACCCUGAUGCAGCGACGCCGCGUGGAGGAAGAAGGUUUUCGGAUUGUAAACUCUUGUCGUUAGGGACGAUAAUGACGGUACCUAACAAGAAAGCACCGGCUAACUACGUGCCAGCAGCCGCGGUAAAACGUAGGGUGCAAGCGUUGUCCGGAAUUACUGGGUGUAAAGGGAGCGCAGGCGGGAAGACAAGUUGGAAGUGAAAACCAUGGGCUCAACCCAUGAAUUGCUUUCAAAACUGUUUUUCUUGAGUAGUGCAGAGGUAGAUGGAAUUCCCGGUGUAGCGGUGGAAUGCGUAGAUAUCGGGAGGAACACCAGUGGCGAAGGCGGUCUACUGGGCACCAACUGACGCUGAGGCUCGAAAGCAUGGGUAGCAAACAGGAUUAGAUACCCUGGUAGUCCAUGCCGUAAACGAUGAUUACUAGGUGUUGGGGGAUUGACCCCCUCAGUGCCGCAGUUAACACAAUAAGUAAUCCACCUGGGGAGUACGACCGCAAGGUUGAAACUCAAAGGAAUUGACGGGGGCCCGCACAAGCAGUGGAGUAUGUGGUUUAAUUCGAAGCAACGCGAAGAACCUUACCAGGUCUUGACAUCCGAUGCAUAGCACAGAGAUGUGUGAAAUCCUUCGGGACAUCGAGACAGGUGGUGCAUGGUUGUCGUCAGCUCGUGUCGUGAGAUGUUGGGUUAAGUCCCGCAACGAGCGCAACCCUUAUUGCCAGUUACUACGUUAAGAGGACUCUGGCGAGACUGCCGUUGACAAAACGGAGGAAGGUGGGGAUGACGUCAAAUCAUCAUGCCCUUUAUGACCUGGGCUACACACGUACUACAAUGGCGUUAAACAAAGAGAAGCAAGACCGCGAGGUGGAGCAAAACUCAAAAACAACGUCUCAGUUCAGAUUGCAGGCUGCAACUCGCCUGCAUGAAGUCGGAAUUGCUAGUAAUCGCGGAUCAGCAUGCCGCGGUGAAUACGUUCCCGGGCCUUGCACUCACCGCCCGUCA
rnacentral:rRNA from 1 species